UUCGAUUCAUAUCGGGUGAGUGGUGGCUCCAGAUCCACAAACGUGAGUAUAACCUCUUUCCUUUUAUCAGCUUGUUGAAAAAUUGGGAUUGCUCCCCACCACUGUUACAUCGCCGGUAAUAUUUGGCACUAUUCUUGAUUGAGUUCUAGUUCCUAUCUAGAAAGAAAAAGAUGUAGAAAAUGACAUGACUGCACUAAAUUAUUAUUACCCAGGAGUCAUCUGCAAUUAUAAUUCACUAGCUAGUGCACUGAUAAAGAAGAAACUUGUGAGCUCUUUCAUUAUUUGGGGUUAAUACAACUUUGGGCUCUAAUUUAUGCCUUGAUACGACUGAGUUCAGACCAGAAUCACUACAACUAAAUUCAGAUCAGAACUGCAUUGCUAGUAUAUCCGGUGAUGUUGAAUUGUGAGGAACCAACCUAUAUUUUAAAAAUACCAAUUCUUGAUUAGAGCAUGCAGUUUGAUGCUAUUUUUCAUGUAUCUUACUAAGGUUGCUACCCUUUUUUAUAUCUGUAUGCAAGUUUGAUUAUUGGUCAUGUAGCUAUGAGAUGUAUCUUACAAAUUUUGAUUAUUUGAGAUAAUCUUCAGUCCAACCAAAUAAUCCCGCGAGCUGGCCGAGCCAGUCUUCUAGUUUGAUUUCUUUGAUUUUGUUCAGUUCAUCGAAGGUGAUAGUUUCCUUGUACAGGGAAGCCACUGAAGAAGCUUUGCUCUGUUUCUUGUGUAUGUGUUCUGCAUUUUCAGGCUUCAACCGAUUAAGUCGCUCUUGUUUUGUUAGUUUUGGUAGUGAAGCUCAACCAAACAUGGUUUUGCAAUGGGCUUAAAGACUUGAUCCUCACGCAAAUUUCAGACUUGAUCAUUAACCUAAUAUAUAUUCCUCUGUUUGCUUUAUUAAAUAAAUGGUCCAAAGGACAGUGCAGCUUGCGCUGAAGAUUGAGACAAACAAUGUUACUACUACAUGCAUGUGAGGCAAGGUGUGUUUCUUGAGAAAUGAGUGAAAAUACCUAUAGAAAAUAUCUGGAGGCGUUGGCGGUGGUGAUGUGCUAUUGAGGUUCUCUUCCAACUUAUGCCCAACAAAAAAAAUCUAUAUAGCUUCUUCCAAAAUAUAUAGUCAAGGUUUGUCAUAAUAAUAAUAUAGUGUAUAUAUAUGCUCCUCGUGACCAUUAUCACAUAGUAGCAGUAGUAAUAUCAUGUUCAUCUUGUUAUAUGUUUGUUGUUCUGCUCUGCUGAACAAAUGCCUCCCUAUCUUUUCUUCUUCUUUGACUACCUAAAUGAAAUUGAACUUGUUGCUCGAGUGCUUGACUAAUUUGGAGCUGAUUGGUUUUCUUAUAGCCAACUGUAGGAGAGGUACAAUUUCAUGCAUGUGCAGUGCAGGUACUACUUUCUGGUAAUCCCUUUAUUGGAGAUGCAUGUUCUUUACCACCGCAACAGAUUAAAGGUCGUACAUAGUAUCAAUGUUUUCUUCUCGGUCUUUAUAAAGUAUAAUUCUACAUUCUGCAGUGGAACAACCUACCUUGCCUAUUGUGCCGAAAAGUCUGCCUAGUGAUGCUUUAUUUACUAACUUACAUGAGUCCAUUUUCACCAUUCGGUUUAUGUUAAUUAAUAUCCAGUGACAGCUCUAAUCUAAAAAGGUUGGGUUGAACUGUAGGUAGAUCGGUGAUGUCCAUAACCAAUUGGACCUUUCCAUGCUUGACUUAUCUUGUGUAGAUGAUAUGUGUGCCUUCCUUUUCAUAUAGUAGAGAUACAGAGGUUUCAGCUUUGUGUAGAAAAAUCAUGCUUUUGAAGUGAAAUUGUACAAUGAUUAUGUUAUUAAGAAGUGAAAAAAAAUCAUGCUUACAAAAAUCAUGAUUAUUUUCUCUGCAGGUUCCUUGCUGCAAGUCGAUGGAAAUGUUCGAGAAGUUGAUGAUCGAAGCUUCCAAGUUUAGUAUGGAGAAUUUAUGUAGCUAAUUUUUUUAAAAUGGAACAAAAUAUUGUAUCUUUUUUGGACUUGUAACUAUAAUUACCAUUUUCACUUUUGAAGCAUGAUCAACAUACUAUGCUUGUCCUUGAUGAUACAUAAUUUGUUUGACAUGAUAUGUAAGACUGAUACACAUGUGUUGAUGUGAGUUGAAUGUUUUGUUGUUUU
rnacentral:lncRNA from 1 species